AGGCCCCGCCGCCGCUUCCUGUCCGCCGGCGGAGAGCCGGGAUUGGACAGGGGGCGUGGCUUGUGCUGGUCCCGCCCCCGCCGGGCUGGAGCUCUCUGAAGCGGCGUGUGCGCGGCCGGCGGGCUCUCCGCGCCCGGGAACUGUGCUGUGACAGGUGUACGGGGAGCGCUUUGCGCUUGGUGCGCUCGCCGGGAACCGAGGUUUCGCUUCUGCUUUCUCUGCUUCUCGUGGUACCCCACAGCCGCCGAGUAAGCAAAAGUCCCUACGAGUCGCGGUGGGAGCGGCGACCGCCACCGACAGAGAAGUUUAUUUGAGAAGUGACCAGGUGACGGGAAGAAGAGGGAAGGGGAAAGCACCUCCGAAGAGAAAGCCAGGAGGUGGGGUGCCACUUGAAAGGAGAGACACCAAAGGUUUGAGAAAGGGUCUUGGACUUUCAGGCCUUCCCUCACUCCUGUUGGGCAGGAACCUACAGGUGUGAGUGAUACUUUGGAUUGUAGCCCUGUGAUAUGCAAUUCCUGCCUAUGGAGCCAACAAUUUGAUUGCUUAACUUGUUUGGCAGUUUCCUUUCUUUAAAGCAGCUUCAAGUCCUCCAGCGGUUCACAGGUG